UAUUCGACCCGCGAUCCUUUUUAGGGCCAAAGACGCGUGCGCCCGAGCCAUGGAGGCGCUCGCCCCGACCCCGCCUUCCUCCGCUACCUUGCCGCGCCGGCUGGCCUCACCGGAGAUCACCACCACCGUGACCAGGUCACGUCGCCGCACCUGCCUUCUCCUCCUCCCUCUCCUUCAUCCUUCCCUCCCAUCAUUUUCUCUCCCUCUCAUUGCAGCGCCGCCAUGGCUGCCCCAAGGUUCGCCGGCAGCCGCGCCCACCUCCCUCCGGCCACAACUCCAGCGGGAUCCGGCCGCCCCUGCCCGGAUCCGCAUCCUCCGCUCCGCCGCGCCCCGGAUCUGGCCACCACCAAGCCUCCCACGCCGAUCCGCCCGUCCGCCGGCCUCCCCCUGCUUGAUCCGGGUGGACGGGUGAAGUUUCUGACUUGCCAUUGGAGUUGACCUGAAGCUCCGUUGGGGAGGAGCAUUGUCGCUGCUACAGAUUAGGGAGGAGGGUCGAGGCAGCCACGAAUUCCAUCCUGCACUACUUCAACACCGGCCUAUUCUUGCAUGAAUCUUCUGCCGUGAGGAUUUAAUGCAGCAAGGGCCAUUUGUUUGACAGAAAUAGAGUUGUUACCGCAAGAGAGGUACAAAUCAAGGACCGAGGAGGAAUGCGUGUGGAUUUGAUCUAGAUGAUGUGAUUGCUUUGUUAUUUCAUUUAAUUAAUAGAAAAAUUGAUGAGGCAAUUGGAAGAAUCAAGCAGCAAUUUUACUACAGAUCUGCGCCAUUGAUUUGGUCAUCUUUGUCACUAGCAAGUUGCAUAAGAAAGAGUGUGGCGUUGCAGAGGCGUGUACAAUUGUGACUCCCACAGUUAUAGAGCGGAUCCAGGUGAAAGAUGUAGGUGGUGUGCGGAUUGAACUCUAGAUCGGGAACCUGCAGUACUAGAUGGACGAUAACUAUGCUUACAAUUGUCGACCGGACACUUUGAGGUAUGUGCCUGUCCCUCUUCCACCCAUAUCAACAUGUAAUAUUGUAAGAAGCUAAUUUAGUGUAGCAAGAACAUCAUAUUUUAGAAGGGGAGCCUUGGCGCAGUGGUAAAGCUGCUGCCUUGUGACCAUGAGGUCAUGGGUUCAAGUCCUGGAAACAGCCUCUUACAGAAAUGUAGGGAAAGGCUGCGUACUAUAGACCCAAAGUGGUCGGACCCUUCCCUGGACCCUGCGCAAGCGGGAGCUACAUGCACCAGGUUGCCCUUUUUUUUUUUUUUAAGAACAUCAUAUUUUAGACACGGUCUGCAGAUCGAUGUACUUUGUCCGUCUUUCCUUCACCAAAGCAUGCGUUGUGAGAUCAUGAUUGCUACCAGGUACAACAUUGCAAUUUAUUUUCCAGAAUGUUCCUUGAACACACUCCCAAGUUCCCAACCAUCAGCAAUUAUAGUCUCCUCAAUUCAGAUGUAUAGGAAUGCAACUUUUAUCCGAGAAUGUGCAACAAAAGCAUGUUGUUUGUAUCUGUUGACCAUUGAAAUCCCAAGACCAAUGCAUGGAGAAGUAGCCUGUGAACCCUAAGUUAUUUCUGGAGAAAUUAAACCACAUAUUUGACUACUUAUUGAUCUCCGAGCUCUAUAAUAAUAUUAUCCUUAAUCUGUUUUUUGUGAAGACAGAGGAUGAGAAAGAAACAGUAUCCAGGACCGUGUACUAUACUAACAUUGUAAUUAUGGGUCCGUGCCACCUAUUUCUAUUUUGAAGCAGUUCUUUUAGGAACAGAAGAUUACACAUGAAGUAAUGGUAUCCAUGACUAUGUACGAUACUAACAUUAGUAAUUAUGGGUCCAUGCUAGGUAUUUAUAUUCCGAAGUAAUUCCUUCAGGAACAGAUGAUCACACAAUAUCUUUUGAUAAAUCUUUUUGCCUAGCUCUGAUUUCUAUUAUCAGAAAUAGAUUGUCUGUACUUACAAGAAACAUCUGUAAAUAGCCGUUAUUCGUUAUUGUGCUCUUCCAUGUCGCACCGCUGACGAGAGGGUGGAGGGUGUUAGUCGUCAUCGCGGAGAAAUAGAAGGGUAACCACCAAGCAGGAGAGAGGGAGGAAAGUUGUGCCCGUUCACUGGAAGCCAGGCAACCCGGCGCCAUCGCCAAGGAGAGCGAGGAGGGGCUGGACUACGCCACCACAGAGGUGAGCUGCGAGGGGCUCCGGCGUCUCUGCAUAGGAGGGGGAGAGAAGCCGCCACCGCACCACGUGAUUCUGCUUGAAACUCCUCGGAGCUUGCACCAGGAUCAAAUAUGUGCUGGCCUUUAGACGUUUGUACCCGUGGGUUGUUUUCACUUAGGCGAAUGACAAUUAAUAUCCGAUCGAACUCAGUUGGAGGCCAAAGAGGUUCGGCUUUCAGACUGCCACCAAUAACGCUCGAAGACACCGACGUGUAGACUAUAAGUUUCCUCCUUCAGUCCUGAUAUAUUGGUGCGAGACACCCUGCAUUUACAUGAUAUUGCUAGGAGCACGUGCAAAUUACAUAAUUUGUCAUACAUGCUGCUUAAGUUGAUCACCGUUAUCCUGUUAAUUGGACCUCAAGAAUAGAGAUGACACCUUACCAUAGGCAGCUCUUGAUUUUGUGCACGUGAAUUCAAUUCUGAAAGUUGAUUCAAGUCUGUAGUGCUUGAAGUAGAUUCAUGGAAGCUACACUUCUGUUACUGCCUCCGUCUCGGUGAAUAAGUCAUUUGCGUAGUUCUAGGUUGACGAUUUAACUAUCUAAAUAUGUAUUAUAUGUGAUAAAAAAUAUAUAUUUAGAAACUACAUCCUUGUAGAAAUCUAGUGAUAUACUUUUCAUAAUAUAUAACACAUAUUUAAUUGCUCAAAUCGAUGACCUAGAACUACGUGAAUGACUUAUUCACCUAGACGGAGGUAGUAGUAUGUGAACAAAAAGCUUGUCUUAUAUGUGUGACUGGAGUUGCAAAAUAUGAAUAAGGGAAUGAUCAUAGAUGCGAACACCUAUAGUAUGAUUUAUCUUGAUAGAGGUGCAGUGGAUUCGUAAGUAGUUUUAGUGUUUUUUGUGGGUAGCUCAAGUACUUAAGCUUAUGCAAUCAUGAAAAAUGAAACAAGGGACCAGACCUUAAUUACCAGUACAAUGAUGCUUUCUCUGUUAAAAUCUUGACACUAUAUUAUCAAUCUCAAUAGCUUAAUCGAUUCUAAGCUCACUAGAAGUAUUUGUUCAGAAUUUGGCUCAUCUAUCGCAUAUGCUUAUACCCGAACCCUCUAUAACGUGGUAUUCUUGUGCCAGAUUUUUGCCAUUCGGUAAUAGUAAUAAUUCCAUACUUCGAUCUGGGAGUGAUGGUUGUACCAGGAUGCGUCUCAUGUCUUACUUUGUGACAGCAGUUGGUCGCAUUUCAGUGACAGUCAAUUCAACCUUGAACAAGCAUCUAAAUAGCAGGUCUUCUUUGGUUGGAAGCACCACAUCUCAUCUGUGUUGCUGCAAAAGCUUUUCAUUUUGGACCAAGCUUAUGGGAUAUGCAUUGCAGUAUGUAUUAGUUACCAUGCUCAGUUUGUGCGACCGAUUUAAUUACUUCUCUUGCGUGGAGAAAAACACUUUAGUUGCUUCUUUUGUUUGUGUGAAGAAAGCCGUUGAGUCACUUCAAAAAUGUCCUUUUCUCCUAGCAUGUAAGAUUAUGUUAUGUGGGCGGGCCGAUUGAUUUGCAGGUCAGUAAGGCUGUACAUUAUGUGGAGGGACUGAAUGUGUAUCCUGUUCAGUGCACUUCGAUGAAAACUGGAUUCAGAAAAGUAAAAUAUAGAGGCUGGAGAGUUUGGCGACCAGCUUGGUAGCACUUGUGUCGCAUCUAUCAUCGAGCAGCACCCUUACUGCGACGUCCUACACGCGGUCCUGAUGGCGCCGUUUACAUAGCAUAGACAGGGACGUGGUCGGCCUCGGCAUGUUCUCCUAUUGUGGCCAAGGACAGUGAUAAUGUAGAGAAUUUCAGAAUUGGGUUGCAGGGUGCAGGCAUGAUGCUCAGAACUGCUCUUUAGGGACUUGCAAAAUGAUCUUUCUUGUUACGCAACAAAACAUUCUCAUGCAGUACCGGAGGUCAUGGAGGAAAAGAGCGUGUAUGAUCGUGAUGAGGCCGAGCGUUUGGCUGCCGCUGUGCGGGACCACAAGAGCAUCAGCGAGAUCUGUGACCAUAUGCUGCUCCUUUCCUGCGAGAGGAAUUCUCCGGCAGUUACGAGGACGACCAGAACACGUCCGCCUGGAAGCAGCGGAGAGCUGUAUUUGAGGAUUUUGUACUAUAUGUGUCCUUAACAGACUACUACUGAUCACAAACUAAAAAGGAAAUGGAUUACUGGAUCGGAUGUGGAAGAGGAAAAUUUCAGAGAUUGGACGCCCAGAUUAGUACACAGAAAAGUUGGACUACUUGAUCGAGCAUGUCUACAUGUACUGAAACAGUAAACCGUACAUGGUUAUUUCUUUAUAAUGUUUGCAAUGACUCGUUCGUCGUUAUUUAAAUUUUUGAUUAGUCUGAUGGUCCUUUAUAAUGUUUGUGCAAUCUAUAAGAAUAAUUCCAUGUGCAUAUGUAAUUUACCACCAAAAUCAGUAACUAAGGGGAAAGACUACGUCCUACUUUCCGGGAAGCUUAAUGAUCAGGAUCGGAACUUAUCAUCUGUGGGACAAGUGGUGGUGGAGGUAAAAGCCAUGAUCAGAACUUUGAGUGAGUUCACCUGGGUCCGAAGGACAGCAAAUGGUGCUGCCCAUUUGCUGGCACGCUUAGGAAUAAGCAGUAGAGCAUCAGUGGUGCUUUGGGACUUAGUUCCCCUGAUUGUAUUCUUAGCGUUGUAUCAGAUGAAAUUCCUAAUUUAGUUUAAUAAAGUGGGGGUGUGAACUUCAAAAAAAGAAGUGUUUGUUUGGGACAAGCCCAAAUAGUGUUCAAUUUUUAUGAAAACUUUAACUUUUAUUAUACCAAAAUUAACCUAAUUAUUAAUGUUUAUUUAAAUUAGAUAUAAAAAUGAUGCACAAUGCCACAUAAAGCAGAUUGUGUCUUUUUUUUGACCGACGCAACGCACGGGCAUUUGUACUAGUACAUAACUAAAGGAAACAGUCUUAGACAAUGAUGUGUUUUGAUUGGUCGAGAGGAGCCUCCCACGGAUCAUGCGUGACCACCGUUCAUCUGUGUGAGAUCCAACGGCCCACCACGCUCCGGCCCCGGCGUCCCAAUCCCUACCUCUCUCUCCUUCUCGUCCCAUUCCAGAGAGCCGCCGCCCCCUCUCUCCCCCACCCCAGCUGCUCUGUCCUCACCGGCGACCUCCUCCUCCGCCGCCGGCCACCAACCCCUCCCCUCACCAUCUCUGCCUUCCCUUUGCCCCAGAUCCACCAAUCCAUGGCACUGUCAGCGAAUCCGAGAACAAGCCCGCCUCCUCCUUGUGAUUGUUGCUCGAGCUGCUCUUAGACGGAUCCACAGCGACCACACGGCAGAUCUGCAGCGUCUUCGGCUGAUCCACGGUGCCCUGAGCCCUACCCAGGUGAUUUUCUGCGUCACCCCUUGGCCUCGGCGGUUCCACAAAUCUCCGGCAUCGUCUGCUCGCCAUCCCCUCGAUCUGACGUCAUUCUGCUCCGAUCUCUGAAACCCCACGCACACAGACCUGAACCCUCUCCCCUCCUUGCUCCCACCAUGGUCAAUUGGCCCUCGCGGCCGCCGUCAUGAGGCAGGCCCACUUCGCCAGCUCCUGCUCGUCGGCCGGCCGGCGGCUCCGCGUGAGGGCGUCUCGCGUCUCGCUGGCUCCCCACGCGGCCUCGCCGCCGCAUGUUUCAUGGGGUGGGUGCUAUGGACCCGAGCUUUCCAUGCUCUGUAGAUCAGUGGAGUCUCGAGUAGGAUAGUAUUGAGCUCCUCUGUGGUCGCGGGUAGCAAUCUUCACAGAUUCGUUCCACUUGUUGCGAUUCGCCAUACUUUUGUAGUCUGGAUGUACUGAUUUGGUUAGAAACUGGAGUUACUUUUUCUCAUUCUUGUUUCCAAGCAGAGCAGGGAUCUGGGGCGCCCAUCAGGGGGCUAGUCUGGGCGAAGGCCGGUGGUUCGUUCAAGCAAGAUCGCAUUGCGGUGGACGCUCCAGCUUAAUUAAAUCGUCGUAGCUGCACAUCCUCUACUGCUUCCUCGCCUGUACAGUCUUGGUCACCUAUGCACGCACGCACCACCGAGCUGCAGAUAAAUGUAAGCAGGUAUCCCCUUGUUGUCUGGUUAAUUAUCUAGAAUUGUUCCUCUGAUUAAUACAGUCAUAUGGUCGCAUGUAGUAUUGUUGAUGAUAUGAAUGGCUCGGGUAGCAGUUGCAUCUUGGUGGGUUUCAAUUCAUUUAUAGCUUAGAGGUUUCAUGAUAGUCAUGCAUGCCACAUACAUAUUCAUCAGGAUUCAGGACUGACACAUCUGUGUGCGUUUCAGCAGACAGUCUCUAUGAUGCGAUGUUUCUUCAUGCUAGUAGCAUAGUGCUCCGAAAUUUUUAUUCCUCACUGUUCGGUGAAAAUUGUGUUUAUCCUCUGUUACUUCUUGUAGGUAGUUGCAGCUCUCAUGUGAUGGGAAUCAACUAGACAAGAUACUCGCUUGUCUGAGCAUUUGAUUAAUUAAUGUAGCUUGUGAGCAUUUUAUGGAUGUUUGCUGGUAUAGUGCAUGAAAAAAUGGCAUGUAUGAAGCCAAUGCUUUAGAAAGUUGCACUUUAGAUGCUUCUACUGUUGUUCUUCAUUUUGUUUCAUAAUGGACUUGUUCUUACUGCCACUGUCCAUGGUGCAAGCAGCGACCCACAAAGCAGUACGGCGUUCCAGCAACUUCUUGGGAAGCUCACGGAACUGAUAAGCCACUAACUUCUGUAGUGUUGAAUGAUUAAAUCGCUACCUUUAACUUGAAAAAAAAUAUAGUCAUGUACGUCUUUUGACCUUGUCACCCUAUUCUCUUUGUUUUUCAGGAUGAGAUACAACAAGAAAUCUUAGAAGGUUUGGUAGUUGAUGUCGUGGAUGAACAAGAGACAGAUGAAGCUUGACGACGUAAUUAGAUGUGAUUGCUAGUUGUAUGUGUUGGUUGUCGUGUGGUGUGAGAUAGUACAUUUGCACUUGUGUAUGUUGUAUGAAAAAGCUUGAAACAUGUUGAUGUUAUGUACCUGUUGGAAAAAAAAAUCAUAUAGUGGAUUUUGAAUGUGUGA